UUCGUAGGUGGUGCGGCGAGUUGGAAGUGAAAUCUCUGGGCUUAACCCAGAGGCUGCUUUCAAAACUGCCGCGCUCGAGUGCGAGAGAGGUCAGUGGAAUUGCAGGUGUAGCGGUGAAAUGCGUAGAUAUCUGCAGGAACACCCGUGGCGAAGGCGGCUGACUGGAUCGCAACUGACACUGAGGAACGAAAGCUAGGGGAGCAAACAGGAUUAGAUACCCUGGUAGUCCUAGCCCUAAACCAUCAGAACUUGGGGUGGCCCGCGUAGGCGGGUCGUCCCGUAGCUAACGCGUUAAGUUCUGCGCCUGGGGAGUACGGUCGCAAGACUAGAA
rnacentral:rRNA from 1 species